AUUGAACGCUGGCGGUAUGCUUAACACAUGCAAGUCGAACGGCAGCACGGUCUGUAGUAAUACAGAUGGGUGGCGAGUGGCGGACGGGUGAGUAAUACGCAGGAAUCUGCCCUAUAGAGGGGGAUAAGUCGAGGAAACUCGAGCUAAUAAGGCAUAGUCGCUACGGAGUAAAGAGGGGGCAACCUGGCGCCAUAGGAGGAGCCUGGGUCUGAUUAGCUAGUUGGUGGGGUAAAGGCCUACCAAGGCGACGAUCAGUAGGUGGGCUGAGAGGAUGAUCACCCACACUGGGACUGAGACACGGCCCAGACUCCUACGGGAGGCAGCAGUGGGGAAUAUUGGACAAUGGGCGGAAGCCUGAUCCAGCCAUGCCGCGUGUGUGAAGAAGGCCUUAUGGUUGUAAAGCACUUUAAGCGAGGAGGAGGCUACCUAGAUUAAUACUCUAGGAUAGUGGACGUUACUCGCAGAAUAAGCACCGGCUAACUCUGUGCCAGCAGCCGCGGUAA
rnacentral:rRNA from 1 species